UACAGAGGGUGCGAGCGUUGUCCGGAAUCACUGGGCGUAAAGGGCGCGUAGGUGGCGGCCCAAGUCCAUGGUGAAAGCUCGAUGCUCAACAUCGAGUCGGCCACGGAUACUGGGUUGCUCGAGCACUGUAGGGGCAGAUGGAAUUCCUGGUGUAGCGGUGAAGUGCGUAGAUAUCAGGAGGAACACCUGUGGCGAAAGCGGCGCACUGGACCACAACUGACGCUGAGGCGCGAAAGCGUGGGGAGCGAACAGG
rnacentral:rRNA from 1 species